rnacentral:rRNA from 1 species
UACGUAGGGGUCGAGCGUUGUCCGGAGUUACUGGGCGUAAAGCGCGUGCAGGUGGCUCAUUACGCCCGGCGUGAAAGCCCCCGGCUCAACCGGGGAGGGUCGUCGGGGACGGGUGAGCUUGAGGGUAGCAGGGGCUGGUAGAAUUCCCGGUGUAGUGGUGAAAUGCGUAGAGAUCGGGAGGAAUACCCGUGGCGAAGGCGGCCAGCUGGGCUACACCUGACACUGAGACGCGAAGGCGUGGGGAGCGAACGGGG